GACGAACGCUGGCGGCGUGCUUAACACGUGCAAGUCGUACGGUAAGGCCCUUUCGGGGGUACACGAGUGGCGAACGGGUGAGUAACACGUGAGUAACCUGCCCACAACUUUGGGAUAACGCUAGGAAACUGGUGCUAAUACUGGAUAUGUGCUCCUGCUGCAUGGUGGGGGUUGGAAAGCUCCGGCGGUUGUGGAUGGACUCGCGGCCUAUCAGCUUGUUGGUGGGGUAGUGGCCUACCAAGGCGGCGACGGGUGGCCGGCCUGGGAGGGUGACCGGCCACAUUGGGACUUGGAUACGGCCCAGACUCCUACGGGAGGCAGCAGGGGGGAAUAUUGCACAAUGGGCGCAAGCCUGAUGCAGCAACGCCGCGUGCGGGAUGACGGCCUUCGGGUUGGAAACCGCGUUCAGCAGGGACGAAGCUUUUUGUGACGGUACCUGCAGAAGAAGCACCGGCUAACUACGUG
rnacentral:rRNA from 1 species